UGCGCUCAAAUUGCAACAAGUCAAAGCAAUCGCUUUAGGGAAGUUGGUGAAAAUCCAACACUGCCCCCGCAACGGUAAAAAAUGAAAAACAUUUCUCAAUAGAUUUCUGAUUUUUAGAGAUUUACACCACUGCAUGUCAUAUGUGGGAAGGUGGAAAUGUAAGUAAUCCAGUUACUACAUUUGAGUCCGGAUACCUGCUUGUUGUGUUCUUCCACU
rnacentral:ncRNA from 2 species